UACAGAGGUGGCAAGCGUUGUUCGGAAUUACUGGGCGUAAAGGGCGCGUAGGCGGCCUUCUAAGUCAGACGUGAAAUCCCCAGGCUUAACUUGGGAACUGCGUCUGAUACUGGGAGGCUUGGAUUCGGGAGAGGGAUGUGGAAUUCCAGGUGUAGCGGUGAAAUGCGUAGAUAUCGGGAGGAACACCAGCGGCGAAGGCGGCACUCUGGGCUGGAACGUGACGCUGAGGAGCGAAAGCGUGGGUAGCAAACAGGGA
rnacentral:rRNA from 1 species